UUGUCCUUCCGGUGUUGCCAGGUCUCGGAAGACACGCUGUCUUCAUCUUCCAUGGAGCUGGUUGUGAGCUCCGCGUACGGCUCCGGCCAUCACUCCUCUGGUUGUGUCUCUCCAGCAUCACGACUCCAUCCCUUCAUGCUCGUAUCUGGAGCUCGCUCGGCCUACAGCUCGCUUGUACCCCGGCCGCCGUGUUGUUCCUGUUCGUCUUCAGCGCCGGUCGAGCAUCGCCGCUUGGGAAUGGCGCACGGCCAUCCCGUCUCGACCUCCUCCAGCUCCUCCAUCCCUUGUUCCUUGGCGCUCGCCAAGGGCCUCUCCUUCAUCUUUUGUCGCGUCUCAACUCCCAUGGCCGCCUCUACGCACGAGCUCGCCGGACGCCGCAGCAUAUGCUCCCUGCUCGGCCUCCCCGGCGUGCUGCUCCCUCGCCUUGGCGCCCCUGCGAGCUCCUUCUCCCUCGCCCGGUUUCCAGCUCGAGCCUCGCCGGAUGCCGACGCUGCUUCUCUGACCUCGUCUCGACACUCAAUCGCUGCAGCACGCCAUAUCGCCAAUUUUCCUCGUCAUUUCUCGGCUACAACCUCGUCAGCUUCUGCGAGUCGUGCGCGUCUUGUGUUCGGGUCGAGCCCAAGGAUUUUAAGGAAAAAGAAGCUCUAG
rnacentral:misc_RNA from 1 species